GGAAGAAAUUGUUUUAAUUUGUAAUAAAAAUAAAAAUAGACGUAUAUAUAUUACGUAAGAGUGUCACGACGAUGAAUGACAAGUGUAGUUAAUGAAAUAGUUACGACGUCAUCGUCCAAAUUUGCAUCGACCAAAAUCAGAGUGCAAGACGUUUUAUUACAUAUGUAUGAUGUAUCUACGUAUGUAUGUAUGUAUGCACAUAACGCGAUUCGCGUAGUGCGUGAAAUAAAAGUGGCACGCUAUCGGGAACGAUUAGAGCGCACAGCAAAACGGUCUUGACCCAUUUAGUUUCAUUAACAUUAAGUCACCGCUGAGGCCGCGAUAUGAUUCCGACCACCUACAACUUUCUAUUCUUCUAACACAUAAAAUUCCAAGAGACAAGAAUUAAUUCUCUCUAAUCAAGAUGACAAUGAGAACACGAGCCACUCGUCUAUUUAUGAUCAUAGCUGAAUGCUAUCAAUUGUCGAAAUACUUGUAUGUAUGCGCGUUUGUGUUUGUAAGUAUCGAGAGUAAAUUGGCACGACAUCGUCAUUGUAUUGCCUCGUCGUGAUUUACUACAUAUUUGCAUCGAUUAAUCGCUUUAGCGAGUAUCAAUGUGACGUCAGAGACGGAUUUAUUCAAUGACUACUCUCUCAACGGAAAGCUAUGUAACCUUUAUAUAUCGCGAAGCCUAUAAUUGUGACCGACUUUUCGACAAGAGGCCAGUUCAAAGAAACGGAACAAGAUCAAAGAGGACAGAUAGUUGGAUUCUCAUUGCAAACGUUAAUAAAAUGAAAUGUCCUUUGUGUAUUCAUUUACAGAAUGAAUUUUCUACAACAGAAUGAAGGGAUUAAGUAAUUUAUAAAAUGAUUCUUAAAAAAGAAAUUACAUCGAACAGAACGAGAAAGAGCACGAUCAAUAUGUCGGAGAACGGUUUGUAUGUUUCUAAAUGCGUUUCGACAUCCCCCUUGAGAGUUCGGGAAAAUAAACGGACUGUAGUAGCAUGGACCUCCUGUUUUAUAUUCCGCUUCGGAUUAUUUUUAUGGCUCAGUCGUAGAGAGCACGAGUUUAAAAUUUUAAUUCCGCGAUACGUCGAUGUGCCAUUGCGGACGAACCGACAGUUUCGUAUUAUUUAUAUGACCA